UAGGGAAUCUUCCGCAAUGGACGCAAGUCUGACGGAGCAACGCCGCGUGAGUGAAGAAGGAUUUCGGUUCGUAAAACUCUGUUGUUAGAGAAGAACAGCGCAUAGAGUAACUGUUAUGCGUGUGACGGUAUCUAACCAGAAAGCCACGGCUAACUACGUGCCAGCAGCCGCGGUAAUACGUAGGUGGCAAGCGUUGUCCGGAUUUAUUGGGCGUAAAGCGAGCGCAGGCGGUCAAUUAAGUCUGAUGUGAAAGCCCCCGGCUCAACUGGGGAGGGUCAUUGGAAACUGGUUGACUUGAGUGCAGAAGAGGAGAGUGGAAUUCCAUGUGUAGCGGCGAAAUGCGUAGAUAUAUGGAGGAACACCAGUGGCGAAGGCGACUCUCUGGUCUGUAACUGACGCUGAGGCUCGAAAGCGUGGGUAGCAAACAGG
rnacentral:rRNA from 1 species